rfam:Enterococcus devriesei strain DSM 22802 Scaffold3, whole genome shotgun sequence.
AGAGUGUUAUGAUGUUGGAGAUUUUUCUCCGAGUCUAGCUCAGCGCCGCUUCCCAGAUUGUCUGGGAAGC